GACGAACGCUGGCGGCGUGCCUAAUACAUGCAAGUCGAGCGGACGGACGAGAGGCUUGCGUGUCUGACGGUUGCGGAAGGCGUGGGAAUGACACGUGGAUAACGGACCUAUAAGACGGAGAUAACUUCGAGAAAGGGUAGCUAAUAGCGCAGAAUAUUUUGAACCGCGUGGUUCAAAAGUGAAUGUCGGUCGUGCUGUCACGUAUAGAUGGAUCCGCGCUGCCUUAGCUAGUAGGUAAGUUAACGGCUUACCAAGGCAACGAUGCAUAGCCGACCGGAGAGGGUGAUCGGCUACCCUGGCACGGAGACACGGUCCCGACUCCUGCGGGAGGCCGCAGUAGUGAAUCCUACGCAAUGCACGAGAGCCGUACGGAGCAACGUGGCGGGAGUCAUGAAGGACUCCGGACCGUAAAGAUCUGUUAGGAGUGAAGAACAUAUGUGCAAUUAACUGGGCCGAUAUUGACGGUACCGAAUAAGAAAGCCCCGGCUAACUACGUG
rnacentral:rRNA from 1 species